CGACCUCGAGCUUCGACACUUUCGCGACAGCCGUCAGCAUGGCCUCGGUUUCAGACCAUCUACCCUGAAGCUCCACCAACUCCCCGGCAAGACGACUGGUCUCAGAACCGCACUCGCUGAUCAUCCCAUCGAUCAACGACAUGAACUGCGAACGAGAAAAAAAAGUUAAAACUAAUUCCGAGAGAGAAUGUACAUGAAACGAUCGAGAAACUCAAGUGAGCGACAAACCUUUCCCCGAAGUCCCGACGCUAGGCUCGAUCCUCCUUGCUGCGAAGAUUCCCCGUCA
rnacentral:lncRNA from 1 species